AAACGACUCUCGGCAACGGAUAUCUCGGCUCACGCAUCGAUGAAGAACGUAGCAAAAUGCGAUACUUGGUGUGAAUUGCAGAAUCCCGUGAACCAUCGAGUUUUUGAACGCAAGUUGCGCCCGAAGCCAUUCGGCUGAGGGCACGUCUGCCUGGGUGUCACGCA
rnacentral:rRNA from 1 species